rnacentral:piRNA from 1 species
UCUGAUGUGGAACCAUGUUGGUACAUGGCUU